rnacentral:rRNA from 1 species
GUCGGGAAUCUUCCGCAAUGCGCGAAAGCGUGACGGAGCGACACCGCGUGAUGGAUGAAGUCCUUCGGGGCGUAAACAUCUUUUAUAAAGGAGGAAAUUUUUGACGUUACUUUAUGAAUAAGGGGCUCCCAAUCUCGUGCCAGCAGGAGCGGUAAUACGAGAGCCUCAAGCGUUAUCCGGAAUCAUUGGGCGUAAAGGGUGCGUAGGUGGUUUGAUUAGUCUCCCGUUAAAACUUCGAGCUUAACUCGAAAAGAGCGGGGGAAACGGUCAAACUAGAGUAUGUGAGAGGUGUGUGGAACUCAUGGUGUAGGGGUGAAAUCCGUUGAUAUCAUGGGGAACACCAAAAGCGAAGGCAGCACACUGGCACAUCACUGACACUGAGGCACGAAACCUAAGGUAGCGAAUGGGAUUAGAAACCCCUGUAGUCC